UUUAUGGAGAGUUUGAUCCUGGCUCAGGAUGAACGCUGGCGGCGUGCCUAAUACAUGCAAGUCGAGCGAACGGACGAGAAGCUUGCUUCUCUGAUGUUAGCGGCGGACGGGUGAGUAACACGUGGAUAACCUACCUAUAAGACUGGGAUAACUUCGGGAAACCGGAGCUAAUACCGGAUAAUAUUUUGAACCGCAUGGUUCAAAAGGGAAAGACGGUCUUGCUGUCACUUUUAGAUGGAGCCGCACUGCAUUAGCCAGUUGGUAAGG
rnacentral:rRNA from 1 species